ACAAUGAUGACUUGCAUAUUAUAGUUUUGUGAUUAAAAACUUAAAAUUUCACAAAUCUAUAAUAUGCAAGUCAUCACUG
rnacentral:miRNA from 1 species